rfam:Sphaerobolus stellatus SS14 unplaced genomic scaffold SPHSTscaffold_133, whole genome shotgun sequence.
GGUAACGUGGCCGAGUGGUCUAAGGCGCUAGUUUCAGGUUCCUGAACAUACUAGUCUUUCGAGGCGUGAGUUCGAAUCUCACCGUUAUCA